AUACAGGACAUUGCAUGAUAUAUGAAAAGAUGGAAGUUUUAUCACUGGCACCCUCUCUCUGGGACUGUGUCAUUAUGGAAGUAAUACAUAUCCGUACAGCUGAUAAUCUCAUCAACAGGGAAGUGGUAUUUCAACUGAGUAGAGCCUGGAACCCUGCAUUGACUGCUAUUAAAUCACAGCACAAAAAUCAAGAUUCUUCAAUAACAGACUCGUCAUAACAUUGGUCUAGUACGGUCUUUGGUGAGAAACGACUGGUCACACUGUUAGCAAAUGCUGCAUACAGUGCACGCACAGGAGAGCCGCUCUGCGAUUUUUGGCAGAGGGCAUUUGAACGUGGCACCAUCUAACUGCAAAUAAUUGCACAUGCACGACUUCUGUGACUGCGCAUACUUUGCAUGCGUGUUCUAGAAAUGGGGUGUCGAUGUGCGGAUACUGUCAGUCGUACCUAGCCACCGGCAAGGUUAAAUCACCUGAAGAUGUCGGACAGUUGCUCCGAGGAAAUUUUGGGGAAUUUGCACGUGAUCCGUCAGCAAACCUGUGAAGACUAUUUGCAACAUAUUUAUAUAUAUUUCUACAUCCAAAAUUAUAAUGGCCUGCAGACGAGAUAGAUACCUCACUAACCAAGAAAUAGAAGAAAUAAUAAACAGUGACGCAUUCUAUAAAGUGGUGUCAGAUGAUCAGGACCAUACUGAUGUCACCGUAUGUCCUCCUGAAGUAGACUAUAUGACCAGCAAAGAAGAAGGUCCAGACGAUGUUACUGGAACUGGGGAAGUCUCAGAUGUGCCAGGGGCUAUUGAAUAACAUUAACAUUAUGUUGCAUCAGGGAAUAACGAAGAAACUGUAUGUAAAACUUCACUGCCAAGUACAUCCCAAGUUUCCAGAAGUAAAUCGAAGAAUGGCCCUCUUAAUGUCUGGCUCUUCUACAUGGGAAAAAGGCACUGGAUUUACUGGAUUUAAGACGUGCUGUUACAGUUACAUACCUGAAAUUGGACACUGGAAGACCAAAUAUUGGAUGUCCAAUGGAAUACCCAUCAAGUCAGUUGAGAGUGAUAUCAGACAUCAGGUUUGAUGGAAUUAGUCAUAUGAUUGACAUAAGAAACAUGCAAAGAAGAUGUGCAAGAGCUAAAUGCAAUGGGAAACCAAAAACAUAUUGUAUUACAUGCCGUAUAACACUUUGUGUGAAGUGUUGUGUAAUAUAAAUAGUUAAGACUUGAAUACAGUUUAGUAUGCUAUAUGAUACUGUUAGAUCCCAGUCUCCUAUUUUGAGGACAGCCAUUAUAUCAGCAUGUAUAAAUAUUC